AUACGUAGGUGGCAAGCGUUGUCCGGAUUUAUUGGGCGUAAAGCGAGCGCAGGCGGUUUCUUAAGUCUGAUGUGAAAGCCCCCGGCUCAACCGGGGAGGGUCAUUGGAAACUGGGAGACUUGAGUGCAGAAGAGGAGAGUGGAAUUCCAUGUGUAGCGGUGAAAUGCGUAGAUAUAUGGAGGAACACCAGUGGCGAAGGCGGCUCUCUGGUCUGUAACUGACGCUGAGGCUCGAAAGCGUGGGGAGCAAACAGGAUUAGAUACCCUGGUAGUCCACGCCGUAAACGAUGAGUGCUAAGUGUUGGAGGGUUUCCGCCCUUCAGUGCUGCAGCUAACGCAUUAAGCACUCCGCCUGGGGAGUACGGCCGCAAGGCUGAAACUCAAAUGAAUUGGCGGGG
rnacentral:rRNA from 1 species